GAUGAACGCUGGCGGCGUGCCUAAUACAUGCAAGUCGAGCGAACAGACGAGGAGCUUGCUCCUUUGACGUUAGCGGCGGACGGGUGAGUAACACGUGGAUAACCUACCUAUAAGACUGGGAUAACUUCGGGAAACCGGAGCUAAUACCGGAUAACAUGUUGAACCGCAUGGUUCAACAGUGAAAGACGGUCUUGCUGUCACUUAUAGAUGGAUCCGCGCCGCAUUAGCUAGUUGGUAAGGUAACGGCUUACCAAGGCAACGAUGCGUAGCCGACCUGAGAGGGUGAUCGGCCACACUGGAACUGAGACACGGUCCAGACUCCUACGGGAGGCAGCAGUAGGGAAUCUUCCGCAAUGGGCGAAAGCCUGACGGAGCAACGCCGCGUGAGUGAAGAAGGUCUUCGGAUCGUAAAACUCUGUUAUUAGGGAAGAACAAAUGUGUAAGUAACUAUGCACGUCUUGACGGUACCUAAUCAGAAAGCCACGGCUAACUACGUGCCAGCAGCCGCGGUAAUACGUAGGUGGCAAGCGUUAUCCGGAAUUAUUGGGCGUAAAGCGCGCGUAGGCGGUUUUUUAAGUCUGAUGUGAAAGCCCACGGCUCAACCGUGGAGGGUCAUUGGAAACUGGAAAACUUGAGUGCAGAAGAGGAAAGUGGAAUUCCAUGUGUAGCGGUGAAAUGCGCAGAGAUAUGGAGGAACACCAGUGGCGAAGGCGACUUUCUGGUCUGUAACUGACGCUGAUGUGCGAAAGCGUGGGGAUCAAACAGGAUUAGAUACCCUGGUAGUCCACGCCGUAAACGAUGAGUGCUAAGUGUUAGGGGGUUUCCGCCCCUUAGUGCUGCAGCUAACGCAUUAAGCACUCCGCCUGGGGAGUACGACCGCAAGGUUGAAACCCAAAGGAAUUGACGGGGACCCGCACAAGCGGUGGAGCAUGUGGUUUAAUUCGAAGCAACGCGAAGAACCUUACCAAAUCUUGACAUCCUCUGACCCCUCUAGAGAUAGAGUUUUCCCCUUCGGGGGACAGAGUGACAGGUGGUGCAUGGUUGUCGUCAGCUCGUGUCGUGAGAUGUUGGGUUAAGUCCCGCAACGAGCGCAACCCUUAAGCUUAGUUGCCAUCAUUAAGUUGGGCACUCUAAGUUGACUGCCGGUGACAAACCGGAGGAAGGUGGGGAUGACGUCAAAUCAUCAUGCCCCUUAUGAUUUGGGCUACACACGUGCUACAAUGGACAAUACAAAGGGUAGCGAAACCGCGAGGUCAAGCAAAUCCCAUAAAGUUGUUCUCAGUUCGGAUUGUAGUCUGCAACUCGACUACAUGAAGCUGGAAUCGCUAGUAAUCGUAGAUCAGCAUGCUACGGUGAAUACGUUCCCGGGUCU
rnacentral:rRNA from 1 species